UUAUUUUGUUAUAUUAAUGAUACAUUCAUGACUACAAGUUUGGAGGUCCGGAGACCACAGGUGCACAGGUGUAUGAAGGGAAAGGCGCUUUCGCGCAUCUCUAAUGAUCCUUCCGCAGGUUCACCUACGGAAA
rnacentral:misc_RNA from 1 species